rnacentral:rRNA from 1 species
GAUGAACGCUGGCGGCGUGCCUAAUACAUGCAAGUCGAGCGAACGGACGAGAAGCUUGCUUCUCUGAUGUUAGCGGCGGACGGGUGAGUAACACGUGGAUAACCUACCUAUAAGACUGGGAUAACUUCGGGAAACCGGAGCUAAUACCGGAUAAUAUUUUGAACCGCAUGGUUCAAAAGUGAAAGACGGUCUUGCUGUCACUUAUAGAUGGAUCCGCGCUGCAUUAGCUAGUUGGUAAGGUAACGGCUUACCAAGGCAACGAUGCAUAGCCGACCUGAGAGGGUGAUCCGCCACACUGGAACUGAAACCCGGUCCCAACUCCCACGGGAGGCAGCAGUAGGGAAUCUUCCGCAAUGGGCGAAAGCCUGACGGAGCAACGCCGCGUGAGUGAUGAAGGUCUUCGGAUCGUAAAACUCUGUUAUUAGGGAAGAACAUAUGUGUAAGUAACUGUGCACAUCUUGACGGUACCUAAUCAGAAAGCCACGGCUAACUACGUG